GGACACACAAGCAUGCUAAAACGAGAGAACAGGGAGCAUGAACGGACCUGGAGCAAGCUGGCCUCGGCAGGGUGUUUCUACGGUGGCGGAAACGGAGAUUGGGGGCAACGAGCAAUGCACGGUCUCUGGUGAAAGAUUGGAGGCAAGCGUGGGUGCUAUGGAUGCGUAAUUAUCCUAUGGAGCUCGCAGUGCGCUCAAUUUAUAGAGUCCGUGAGCGGUGGCCGGUGAAUUGGAUGAAGACGCGCGGCGGCCGGAGAGGAAGAGGGGCACUGGCGCAAGCGCUUAGUGGCUUUCACUGUGGCGGUCCUUCUGGCGAUCACCAGAUAUGCCUAACAUGACUAACCGCGACGUGGUAAGAUGCCUGGGCACGUGGUACAAGACCACGAGGUGGCAAUCUCCGGCGAACCCAUCCGAAGCAACCGUAACUAGCUCGGGUACGGUGGUCGGAGUAAUUUAGUGGCCGGAGCAUAUCCACGGUGUGAUAUUUACUGACCCCCGGCGCUAUCCAGCUGUUCUGAGCGUGAAUCAUGGCGGCGAUAACCCGAAUCCGCGCGCGGCUCAUCGGCGGCGAGGGACUGAGCUGGCGAUCCGAUCGGGAUACUGUACCAUCGGAAACGCAAUUCAGCGCCCCUGACAGCCCAACUUGUAGCG
rnacentral:lncRNA from 7 species